CACCCUUUUACAGUUUCACUCCUUUUGAUGGGCUUAGGAGACAACCCUUACAGAAUUUUCUCUCCUCUCUUUAAAGAUCAGAACUUGGAAGAAAAGAGGGAGAAGAACUUUUGGCCUUUACAACAAUUUUGAACUCUAAGAAUCACAGAAUAAGAUCAGGAUUUCGGUGUGUUUUGAGUGCCCUUUCAGUGCUGAAUGGGUGGGGUAUUUAUA
rnacentral:lncRNA from 1 species